rnacentral:lncRNA from 1 species
UGAAGCAAUACUCAUCAAUCUGAUAGAGUUUAACACUUAAAACAACUGAUGUUAAAGAAGGGGAGGGAAAAGGGAUGAGUGGGGUGUCAUAAAUAGCAGAAGAUGUGCCUGAAAGUGAAAGGUGCAGGUUGGCUAAGAAUAGCCAGAAAAAGUAAAUAAGCUAGUUAAAGAACAAAAAAAACAAAAACAAGAAAACAGCAAAGCAGGGCAUGCAAGUAUAUGGAUGCAUAUAUGUAUGUAUAUAAAUUGAUCCAAUAAAGGUGAAGCGAGAAUAUUGAAAAAUAACUAAGUAAGACAUUAAGAUAGCGUUUAUAAAAAGUUUUGGUAGUGUGUGAGAAAGCCAAAGUCUACAUUAGGUCCUUCAUUUCUGGUGUUGAAAUGUGUGAUCUUGUGUCUUUCGUUCAUGAGAGUUUUUGAAGUUCCCUUUAAAAACUUUAAUCCUGAGGUUUUGGAUGGAGUGACCAGUCUGGGUGAAGUGAUGACCAACAGGGGUACAAUAUCCAUUUUCCAUGUGGUUCUUGAUUGAGUGUCUAUGUAGAUUCAUUUUGAGAUGCACCUAAGGCCAGUUUCUCCAAUGUAGCAACCUUUGUCACACAAUGUACACUGUAUCAUGUACACCAUAUUCGCAGAUGUGCACGGACAUGAUCCCUUAAUGUUGUGUGAUUUGUUACUGUGUCUGGCUGUGUUAUUGCCACAUAUAUGUUGACACAGUUUUCAGAGUGAUUUGUUGCAUCAUACAGUGCCAUUCUGUGUGAGCUCCUGUUCUGUGGUCAAUUUGCUGCGGACCAAUCUCAGGUUAGGCUUUUUUUUUAUGCUAGUAUGGGGGGGUUCAGGAAAUAUUUUUGGAGUGUGGGUUCCUAUGAAAUUAAUGGUUGUAGCUAUUUAAUAAAUUAACGUACUACUCCUGUACGAUGCAACAAAUCACUCUGCAAACUGUGUCAUCAUACAUAUGGCAAUAACACAGCCAGACUGACAGGGAAGGGUUUACCGGAGGGAUGGGGGGAUAGCGGGGACUGACAGCGAAGGGUUUACCAGAGGGAUGGGGGGAUAGCAGGGACUUUCAUGGAAGGUCACCAGAGGGAUGGGGCAAAUAACUAUCAGUCUUAUUUUAGUAAAAUUUAAAGGGAAACUAUAGUGCCUAGAAAACAAACUUGUUUUCCUGGCACAAUACCCAGGAAACCCUGGGUUCAGAAGGGGUUAAAAACUCCUUCUGUCACUUACCUGGGUCCAGAGCCCAUGCCCCUCUGUGCUGGUUCAGGUCUGCCUUCGCUCCUCCCCCCGCUGACUGGGGAGACCUAAUGCGCAAUGGCCAUGCUCACAUUGGGAUUUCCCCAUAGGAAAGCAUUAUACAACGAUUCAGCAGUCUCUGUGUGUGUAUUCAGUGGACUGUGUUUACGUAUUCAGCAGUCUGUGUGCAUGUUUGUGUGUAUUCAGUGGUCUGUGUGUAUGUAUUCAGCGUUCUGUGUGUACUCAGCAGUCUGUGUAUGUGUUUGUGUGUAUGUAUUCAGCGGUCUGUGUGUAUGUAUUCAGCAGUCCGUGUGUAUGUAUUCAGCAGUCUGUGUGUAUGUUUGUGUGUAUGCAUUCAGCGGACUGUGUGUGUGCAUGUAUUCAGCGGACUGUGUGUAUGUAUUCAGCAGUCUGUGUGUAUGUAUUCAGCAGUCUGUGUGUAUGUAUUCAGCAGUCUGUGUGUAUGUUUGUGUGUAUGUAUUCAGCGGACUGUGUGUAUGUAUUCAGCGGUCUGUGUGUAUGUGCAUGUAUUCAGCAGUCUGUGUGUCUGUAUGUAUUCAGCAGACUGUGUGUAUGUGUGUGUAUGUAUUCAGCAGUCUGUGUGUAUGCGUGUGUAUGUAUUCAGCAGUCUGUGUGUAUGCGUGUGUGUAUGUUUUCAGCGGACUGUGUGUAUGUAUUCAGCAGUCUGUGUGUAUGUAUGUGUGUAUGUAUUCAGCAGUCUGUGCAGUGGUGAAUCCUGGUUUUGUGCUGCCCUAGGCAAAAC